GGGUUUGUAGUCUAGCUUGGCAAGAUUUCCGCCUUGGGAGCGGACGGCGGGCGUUCGAAUCGCCCCAAACCCACCA
rnacentral:tRNA from 1 species